UGGGGAAUAUUGCGCAAUGGGGGAAACCCUGACGCAGCAACGCCGCGUGCGGGAUGAAGGCCUUCGGGUUGUAAACCGCUUUCAGCAGGGACGAUUAUGACGGUACCUGCAGAAGAAGCCCCGGCUAACUACGUGCC
rnacentral:rRNA from 1 species